CCUACGGGAGGCAGCAGUGGGGAAUAUUGGACAAUGGGGGGAACCCUGAUCCAGCGACGCCGCGUGAGUGAAGAAGUAUUUCGGUAUGUAAAGCUCUAUCAGCAGGGAAGAAAGAAAUGACGGUACCUGACUAAGAAGCCCCGGCUAACUACGUGCCAGCAGCCGCGGUAAUACGUAGGGGGCAAGCGUUAUCCGGAUUUACUGGGUGUAAGGGGAGCGUAGGUGGUUUCUUAAGUCAGAGGGGAAAGGCUACGGCUCAACCGUAGUAAGCCUUUGAAACUGGGGAACUGGAGUGCAGGAGAGGAGAGUGGAAUUCCUAGUGUAGCGGUGAAAUGCGUAGAUAUUAGGAGGAACACCAGUUGCGAAGGCGGCUCUCUGGACUGUAACUGACACUGAGGCACGAAAGCGUGGGGAGCAAACAGGAUUAGAUACCCCAGUAGUC
rnacentral:rRNA from 1 species